rnacentral:lncRNA from 1 species
AAACACACCCACAACGGCGCAUCCCUUUGGUUCCAAUGUUUUCUCUCAGUCAUUUUGAAAAAAACACAAAUUCACCAAGGAGGACAGCUACCAUUAGUCAACUUCAAACUCUAUCUCUCGGUAUUUUUUUUGAAGCAAAAAUUAAAGAGUUUCUUCUUUAACCUCAUAUGAUCACAAAUAUCCCACCACCAUCAUAUCACAUCAUAUCACUACGAUAACCUCAUUAUCUCUAUUUCCAUUUCAAAACUAGAAAAACAAAAGAAUUUUAAGAAGAUUAGAUCUUCUUUUCUCACGUGACAGAGAGUGAAC